rnacentral:rRNA from 1 species
GAUGAACGCUAGCGGGAGGCUUAACACAUGCAAGUCGAGGGGCAGCACGAGGUAGCAAUACUUUGGUGGCGACCGGCGCACGGGUGAGUAACGCGUAUGCAACCUACCCUGUACAGGGGCAUAGCCCGGAGAAAUCCGGAUUAAUACCCCAUAAAGAUAUGAGAUGGCAUCAUUUUAUAUUUAAAGUUCCAACGGUACGGGAUGGGCAUGCGUAACAUUAGCUAGUUGGUAGGGUAACGGCCUACCAAGGCUGCGAUGUUUAGGGGUCCUGAGAGGGUGAUCCCCCA